GACGAACGCUGGCGGCGUGCUUAACACAUGCAAGUCGAGCGGUAAGGCCCUUUCGGGGGUACACGAGCGGCGAACGGGUGAGUAACACGUGGGUGACCUGCCCUCAGCUCUGGGAUAAGCCUGGGAAACUGGGUCUAAUACUGGAUAUGACUCCACGGUGCAUGUCGUGGGGUGGAAAGCCUUGUGCGGCUGAGGAUGGGCCCGCGGCCUAUCAGCUUGUUGGUGGGGUGANGGCCUACCAAGGCGACGACGGGUAGCCGGCCUGAGAGGGCGACCGGCCACACUGGGACUGAGACACGGCCCAGACUCCUACGGGAGGCAGCAGUGGGGAAUCUUGCGCAAUGGGCGAAAGCCUGACGACGCAACGCCGCGUGGAGGAUGAAGGUCUUCGGAUUGUAAACUCCUGUUGCCCGGGACGAAUAGCUCCGACCUAACACGUCGGAGUCUGCGGUACCGGGUGAGGAAGCCCGGCUAACUCUGUGCCAGCCGCCGCCGU
rnacentral:rRNA from 1 species